AUUUGGGACCUGUGGUUUCAGGUGUGAGCGCAACCAUAAAGUAAAACUGCCUCCAGCACUGCCUUGACAGGGCAUGGAAAUGUGGCCAGCCCCAGCUCAGGGGUAACAUAAAGUCCGUCUCCUUCCCAUGGUGCCCGGGCAGGCCUGCCCUUACUUGCUCUGCAGAGGGCUGCGAGCCCUGGAGGGUGCAGAGCCGCCGGGCUGUGAGAUCCCACCGUGCAGGAGCUCUAUCCAGCCCCUCUGGCCCGCAGAGCUGGUGGGACUGGGCCAGCUCAGCUUCCCCAGGCCUCGCCAAGCAGCCCGACAUGGCGGGUGUUUGCGUGUCACUGGGGCUUUCACAGCACUUGGGUUUUGUUAGAGGAGGAGGAGUUUCUCCCUUGACAUUUUCACAGCUCCGGAAGGAACAGGAGGGAUUGAUGACUCUGAGCACAGCAAAGACAAAGAGAGCUAUGGAGAACAGGACCCCGUUGUGCUAAUUUCUGGGUAAACUUAUAAUGAGAGUCCCCAUACUGACGAGUCCAUUUUAUAAAUGGAAAAAGAGACCCAGAGAGAGCAGGGACACAAAAGGGAGCGGACAAUACAGGAGCCACGAAUAUCAGGUAAGGUGGCUUUGGAGAACUGCUGAGGAUCCUCUUUCAGCAGUUUGUCUACACUGCCUUCAUUAGGAUGACACGUCCAGCCAUCGAUUCUCCAACAGACACCUAAAAGGCACAAACUGCGAGGAAGUUUCCAUGUGGAUAUAACCCAUCUCACAGCUGUUUCAUCUUUCAGGACCUCAAGAGCAAGUGGUAAUCAUUCUACCAUGGGAACAAAAGACAGCAGGUUAGCUCAAACUUGCCAUUCUUAGCUGGUCAAAACAGAAGUUCUGUCUCCAUAACUCCAACUUUCCCUUCAAAUACAUGUGUUGAAACUUU